rnacentral:rRNA from 1 species
AAAAGCUCAGAUUUGAAAUCUGGUAUCAUUUUUUGGUGCCCGAGUUGUAAUCUGUAGAGGAGUAUUCGGUUUUGGUCAUGGCUUAAGUUCCUUGGAACAGGACGUCAUGGUGGGUGAGAACCCCGUUUGCGGCCUUUGUCUUCAAAAUCAUGUGAAUCUCCUUCAACGAGUCGAGUUGUUUGGGAAUGCAGCUCUAAAUGGGUGGUAAAUUCCAUCUAAGGCUAAAUAUCUGCAAGAGACCGAUAGCGCACAAGUAGAGUGAUCGAAAGAUGAAAAGAACUCUGAACAGAGAGUUAAAUAGUACGUGAAAUUGUUGAAAGGGAAGCACUUGCUACCAGACGCACUUGCAAUUGAUCAGGCUUGCAUUUUGUAAGCUGCACUCAGUUGUAGGUGGGUCAGCAUCAGUUAUGGCGGUGGGAUAAAGCCUGGAGGAAUGUGGCUCUCUUCGGGGAGUGUUAUAGCCUCUGGUGUAAUACUGCCUGCUAUGACUGAGGAUCGCGCCUUCGGGCGAGGAUGCUGGCAUAAUGGUCGUAAGUGACCCGUCUUGAAACACGGACCAAGGAGUCUAACAUCUAUGCGAGUAUUUGGGCUUUAUAAACCCUUAUGCGAAAUGAAAGUGAAUGGAGGUGGGAACCGCAAGGUGCACCAUCGACCGAUCCUGAUGUCUUCGGAUGGAUUUGAGUAUGAGCAUAGCUGUUGGGACCCGAAAGAUGGUGAACUAUACUUGAAUAGGGUGAAGCCAGAGGAAACUCUGGUGGAGGCUCGCAGCGGUUCUGACGUGCAAAUCGAUCGUCAAAUUUGGGUAUAGGGGCGAAAGACUAAUCGAACCAUCUAGUAGCUGGUUCCGGCCGAAGUUUCCCUCAGGAUAGCAGUAACGAGUUGAAUAGUUUUAUGAGGUAAAGCGAAUGAUUAGAGGCCUUGGGGUUGGAACAACCUUAACCUAUUCUCAAACUUUAAAUAUGUAAGAAGGCCCUGUUGCUUAAUUGAACGGGGUCGUUAGAAUAUUUCGUUACUAGUGGGCCAUUUUUGGUAAGCAGAACUGGCGAUGCGGGAUGAACCGAACGUGAAGUUAAGGUGCCUAAGUGCACGCUCAUCCGACACCACAAAAGGUGUUAGUUCAUAUAGACAGCAGGACGGUGGCCAUGGAAGUUGGAAUCCGCUAAGGAGUGUGUAACAACUCACCUGCCGAAUGAACUAGCCCUGAAAAUGGAUGGCGCUUAAGCGUGCCACCUAUACUUCACCACUA